GCCUUUCGUGUUGUUAUCUAGAUGGAAGAGCCUGGGAAAAGGAGAAAGUUUACUUGUGCUUGGCAUCCUCAGUCGCUGAUAUUAAUAUCCAGUGAAUAAGUUCCAACAUUUGCUGGAGCAAAGUAAUAGUCAAGAGACUUGUUAAGUUAGCCAACUUUUCUUAAUUUAAAGUUUGGAUGUUGCCUUUGCUCUGUACUGAUCACAUUUCAGGGUAUUACUUUGUCUGCUUUUCUUCUCUGAGCACUUGUGCUGCAUGUGUAUGACUGUGCUCAUCAGGGAGCAAAGUCAUAAAACCACACGUGAAAUCGGCAACCUUUCUGUUCUUGGUAGAACCUCUGUGGAGCUGCAGCGUGACAGCCCAAGACAAAGGACAUGAGGAGAAAGCCUUUCAGUGGAUGGUGCAGCUCUGCCUGCUGGUGUCACCAGGCGAAACGCGAGGGUUGUAGCCAGGCAUGUGAAUUGGCUGAGAAAGUGGUGGCCGUUGUAGGAUUUGUGAAGACAAUUUACGCUCAGUGAUAUUAUUACAAAUUGAGCCAGUUUGAAAGAAUCUUUCUUAAACCAAGAGGAAUAUUACGUGGCUGUGCCACUAGAGGCUUUAUAGAGGCUUUGCACUUUCUGUGGAAGCUCAACAUUAUCACAUUGGUAGAGAAGACAGAUGGAUGCUGCUUAAGUAAGAAGCCAUGGUACUGUACCAGAGUUGAUGCAUGCCACAGUAAUGCUGCAUCAUACAUGGAGAGAUUCUGCCUUGGACCAUCCCAAGAGGGGGAGAAAUCUGGUGGAUCCAUUUCUUUGGCUUUUUGACCUAAAGGAGGGCAGGGGCAAAAGGCAAGGGAAGAGGUGACAUGGUCCCCCCUUCUGCUGGGGCACCAGUCGUGUCAGAGCAACCGUGGUGUCUCCCUCAAAUCCCCUCUAAGUGGCAACCCCAAACUCUGGUACUGACGCUGCAUGCAAAUGCAGUAAAAUCUGUCUCUCAGAGCACAUGCUGCACCUUGUUGUUCCAGGUGUUUGCCAAACGUGGACUGAAUCAAAAGGAUUCUGGAUGGAAAUCUGAAAUGAGACAGUGGGCUGCUGAAAUGCACCGUGAGGAAAGACUCAGGAGAAGAACGUGACGGCUUCCUGGCUUGAACAGAAGCACUGCAGGUUUGCUCCCGUGCGUGGUGCUCAGCUCAGUCUUCUUUAAUUGGUGUGGAAGUCCUCAAACCCUGCGUGACUACAGGAUGUCAGGAUAAAGCAGCAGAAGGGCAGUUAUAAAUCACCAUGCAGGAAGACCUCAGGCCACGUUUUGAUCUUUCUUCAGGCUCACAUGAAAAUGGCAGCAUCUGCUCCAUCCUGGCUGAGGUGUCCAGCAGGAGCUAGCAGAGGAGCAUCAUUACACCAGCCCCACAAACAAGCCUCACCUCGUUGGAAACACCGUGUGAAUGUGGAAGAGAGGAGGGGCCGCACACAGUGUCACUGCACAACCAGCUCCAGAGGUGAGUGACCGACAGCCGUGGCAGCUAGUGCAGAGCCAGACUCCCAGAGGCCAUCCCAGUGCCCACCGCCAGUGGUUACAGGGCUUUACGGUGUUUGUCACCUGUCUGAUUGUGCAGAUGAAGUGCAGUCAGAAACACCAAAUCCUCCUGUUGCCAUCUGAGUACUUAUUUCUGCUCACCAUCUGUAUUCGGUGAGAUUCCGCGUUCUAAGGCCUGUUUGUAAAGGGGCAAAAACCACUUUGUCUUAGAAGGUUUUUGUUUUAACCAGGGAAUCUCACUCUAAGAGAGCUGUGGUAAUAUAAGACCUUUCUUCUUCCACUGCAUAUGAAGCAGAUCAAAAUGCAUUAAUUAUGCUAGAUGUCACAGAAUACAAUUUGUGCAGGCUCAGUAGUGUGCUGUGGUUGCUGGUUUUUCUUCUAGAAAGGACAUUUAUAUCUCAAACUCUUAAUUUACCCAUGAAACUGUUCUAAAAGCUAUUUUGAAAAUUGUCACUCUUCGUUUCAAAUAAUAUAUAUAUACUUCCUUUUAAAUAAUAUAUAUAUACAGCUUGUACCAUAUUAUAGUGAAAUGCACUUUUAAUUUUAAAUUUGAUAAUAGUUAAGUAAUUAGCUACCUCAUUAUUGUUGAAUUGUCAUCUUUUGGUUUGUUUCAUUGCACUAAAAAUGAGACUGAUCCAGAAAUGAAAACAAGAUAUUCCAAUUAGUACUAAGUAACAGCCUUCUUUACUGAUUACUUUAAAAUAAAGACAAAGGCAUUUCAACUAUUCACAAAUCUUUCUGACACAUUGCAAAGUAACAUAAGAGAAUAAAGAUCAUGAUCAUAUCCAAAGCAAAAUAGUUUAAAGAAUUUUUACAAAUGCAUUGUUUUUUUCAUUUCAAGAUUUUUGCUGACACACUGCAGGAGAGUAUCUGUUUGGUGAAAUAAACUUCUAUUAUACAUAACAUCCAGUGCUAGGGGACAAAUUGGAAAAGUAUCCUCAGGAAGGUAUUUCAUCAGAACCAGGCCUCUCAUCUCUGUGGACUGUCUGCAAGGUUUAAUUUUUUUUUCUUUUUAAUGGUAUUUUUACAGAAUGACACGGAGCUGAUACUUGUUUUACAGUUUAUGUAAGAAUUUAAAAGAUCCAGUACCUAUUUCAUCUAUGUAUACAUUUCUGAAGCUUUAAGACUGUGCCACUAACAACUCUUUAUCUGUCUUUUGUCAGUUUCUGAAAUGUUACUAAUACUUGGUCAAAUUUAGACUUGUUAACGGCAAUGAUGAUGAUGUUCCUUAUCCAAAAAUCCCAGACCAAAUUGAACAAUUCCCUGGGAAACUGCAGACCUCAUGCAUGAUACGUAAGUAAAAAUUUAGUCCAAAGUUCUGAUAAACAUUUAGUGUCAGCUAGAGCUAAUAUUUGGUCUAGUUCUAAACAGUAAAAUGCUUAUUAUAUACAGAACAGUUAGAUGGAAUAUGGACAUUUGACAAGGGUGGCUCAAGGCAUUUCAUGGUCUGAAUUGUUUGCACGGCCAUAAGGCAGCUGCCCUUUUUUGUUUAGGCAUGGGCUCGUGCCAGAUAUGGGAAGGGAAGGGCCUCAGCAUUGCAGAGGGCUCAGUCACACAAGGUGCAAGUUACCUUCUCCCGGCUGCACAAUCUUCAGCUCAACCAGGAGUUUCUUGCAGGACUGAGAACCCAUUAGGGCUUGCUCCUGAGCUAAAAGCAAACCUGGACAGCAUGAUCAGAUGCCAGUUUACAUCAGGUAAGGAUUUGGUCUUUUGCUUUCACCGUAUUCCAACACAAAGAACUGCACCAGCAUCUCUCAAUGAGCACCAUUAACUGACUUUGGUAACGUAUCUGUUGGCAGGCCCAGUAGGAUCAUGCCACGUGCUGAACUCCUGUCUCGUGUAAUAGGAAAGCACAGCUGCCAAUUACCUCGCAACUAGAGUCUCUCUGUUUCAAAGCUCGGUAGGAAUAGUACGAGAAGGGCUAGAGGAGAUGACUGUGCUAGUCCCCCAUCUUUGCUAAUGUUCUUCAGAGCAGCGUCCUCGCCUCAAGAUCACAUCAUCGAGUCCAAUGUCCCCA